rnacentral:pre_miRNA from 1 species
AAAAGUGCUUAUAGUGCAGGUAGAACUUAGACCUACUGCACAGUAAGCACUUCCUG